UACGUAGGGGGCAAGCGUUGUCCGGAUUCAUUGGGCGUAAAGAGCUCGUAGGCGGUGUGUCACGUCGGCCGUGAAAACCUGCAGCUUAACUGUGGGCGUGCGGUCGAUACGGGCAUCACUGGAGUUCGGCAGGGGAGACUGGAAUUCCUGGUGUAGCGGUGAAAUGCGCAGAUAUCAGGAGGAACACCAGUGGCGAAGGCGGUUCUCUGGGCCGAUACUGACGCUGAGGAGCGAAAGCGUGGGGAGCAAACAGG
rnacentral:rRNA from 1 species